rnacentral:rRNA from 1 species
UCCAGACUCCUACGGGAGGCAGCAGUGGGGAAUAUUGGGCAAUGGGCGCAAGCCUGACCCAGCAACGCCGCGUGAAGGAAGAAGGCUUUCGGGUUGUAAACUUCUUUUGACAGGGAAGAGUAGAAGACGGUACCUGUCGAAUAAGCCACGGCUAACUACGUGCCAGCAGCCGCGGUAAUACGUAGGUGGCAAGCGUUGUCCGGAUUUACUGGGUGUAAAGGGCGUGUAGCCGGGUUGACAAGUCAGAUGUGAAAUCCUGCGGCUUAACCGCAGAACUGCAUUUGAAACUGUUGAUCUUGAGUACUGGAGAGGCAGACGGAAUUCCUAGUGUAGCGGUGAAAUGCGUAGAUAUCGCGCAGAACCCCGAUUGCGAAGGCAGCGUACCGGCCCCACACUGACGCUGAGGCACGAAAGCGUGGGUAUCGAACAGGAUUAGAUACCCCGGUAC